rnacentral:rRNA from 1 species
AGAGUUUGAUCCUGGCUCAGGACGAACGCUGGCGGCACGCUUAACACAUGCAAGUCGAACGAGAGAAGAGAAGCUUGCUUUUCUGAUCUAGUGGCGGACGGGUGAGUAACACGUGAGCAAUCUGCCUUUCAGAGGGGGAUACCGAUUGGAAACGAUCGUUAAUACCGCAUAACAUAAUUGAACCGCAUGAUUUGAUUAUCAAAGAUUUAUCGCUGAAAGAUGAGCUCGCGUCUGAUUAGCUAGUUGGUAAGGUAACGGCUUACCAAGGCGACGAUCAGUAGCCGACCUGAGAGGGUGACCGGCCACAUUGGGACUGAGACACGGCCCAGACUCCUACGGGAGGCAGCAGUGGGGAAUAUUGCACAAUGGAGGAAACUCUGAUGCAGCGAUGCCGCGUGAGGGAAGAAGGUUUUAGGAUUGUAAACCUCUGUCUUUGGGGACGAAAAAUGACGGUACCCAAGGAGGAAGCUCCGGCUAACUACGUGCCAGCAGCCGCGGUAAUACGUAGGGAGCGAGCGUUGUCCGGAAUUACUGGGUGUAAAGGGAGCGUAGGCGGGAUCGCAAGUCAGAUGUGAAAACUAUGGGCUUAACCCAUAAACUGCAUUUGAAACUGUGGUUCUUGAGUGAAGUAGAGGUAAGCGGAAUUCCUAGUGUAGCGGUGAAAUGCGUAGAUAUUAGGAGGAACAUCAGUGGCGAAGGCGGCUUACUGGGCUUUAACUGACGCUGAGGCUCGAAAGCGUGGGGAGCAAACAGGAUUAGAUACCCUGGUAGUCCACGCCGUAAACG